rnacentral:misc_RNA from 1 species
AAUUGGAUUGAUGGGUAGUAUAGCCACGGCCUUGGACAAAAGUUUUGAAGCUAAGAGCCACGGCCUUUAUGAAGAUGUGCAAUCUUAGAUUCGUCAAAGUGAAAAAUUCAUAUCUAAACAUUGCGCUCCCUCCUGCAAACUUUGAAUUUUGUCCACAAGCGCUAAGAUAUCUUUACUGGGAUUAUUAUCCUCUAGAAUCUUUGCCACUAAACUUUUGGCCAAAUAAUCUUGUAGAACUUCAUAUGCCUUAUAGCAAAUUCAUACAACUGUGGAAUGGAGGA